rnacentral:rRNA from 1 species
GAUGAACGCUAGCGGCAGGCUUAACACAUGCAAGUCGAGGGGUGACAGGUCACUUCGGUGAUGCCGACGACCGGCGCACGGGUGAGUAACGCGUAUGGAACCUACCUGAAACAGGGGGAUAGCUUCCGGAAACGGGGAUUAAUACCCCAUACGAUUCAUUUGUGGCCUCACAAAUGGAUAAAAGCUACGGCGGUUUCAGAUGGUCAUGCGUACCAUUAGUUAGUUGGUGAGGUAAAGGCUCACCAAGGCGAUGAUGGUUAGGGGUCCUGAGAGGGUAGUCCCCCACACUGGUACUGAGACACGGACCAGACUCCUACGGGAGGCAGCAGUGAGGAAUAUUGGUCAAUGGGCGCUAGCCUGAACCAGCCAUGCCGCGUGCAGGAAGACGGCCCUACGGGUUGUAAACUGCUUUUCUGCAGGAAGAAUAUAUAGUCUUAGGGCUAUAUUGACGGUACUGCAGGAAUAAGCAUCGGCUAACUCCGUGCCAGCAGCCGCGGUAAUACGGAGGAUGCAAGCGUUAUCCGGAUUCAUUGGGUUUAAAGGGUGCGCAGGCUGUAAAGCAAGUCAGUGGUGAAAGCCCUGGGCUUAACUCAGGGAUUGCCAUUGAAACUGUUUUACUAGAGUGUAGUAGAGGACGGCGGAAUGAGUUGUGUAGCGGUGAAAUGCAUAGAUAUAACUCAGAACACCUAUUGCGUAGGCGGCUGUCUAUACUACAACUGACGCUGAGGCACGAAAGCGUGGGGAGCGAAC